rnacentral:rRNA from 1 species
UAACGAGUGAGUAAGGUAUCGGAACGUGCCCAGUCGUGGGGGAUAACGUAGUGAAAAUUACGCUAAUACCGCAUACGAUCUAUGGAUGAAAGCGGGGGAUGGCAGGACCUCCCGCGAUUGGAGCGGCCGAUAUCAGAUUAGGUAGUUGGUGGGGUAAAGGCUCACCAAGCCAACGAUCUGUAGCUGGUCUGAGAGGACGACCAGCCACACUGGAACUGAGACACGGUCCAGACUCCUACGGGAGGCAGCAGUGGGGAAUUUUGGACAAUGGACGCAAGUCUGAUCCAGCCAUUCCGCGUGCAGGACGAAGGCCUUCGGGUUGUAAACUGCUUUUGUACGGAACGAAAAAGCUCUUAUUAAUACUAGGAGUCCAUGACGGUACCGUAAGAAUAAGCACCGGCUAACUACGUGCCAGCAGCCGCGGUAAUACGUAGGGUGCAAGCGUUAAUCGGAAUUACUGGGCGUAAAGCGUGCGCAGGCGGUUAUAUAAGACAGAUGUGAAAUCCCCGAGCUUAACUUGGGAACUGCAUUUGUGACUGUAUAGCUAGAGUACGGCAGAGGGGGAUGGAAUUCCGCGUGUAGCAGUGAAAUGCGUAGAUAUGCGGAGGAACACCGAUGGCGAAGGCAAUCCCCUGGGCC